AGCGAACGCUGGCGGCAGGCCUAACACAUGCAGGUCGAACGGACCCUUCGGGGUUAGUGGCGGACGGGUGAGUAACACGUGGGAACGUGCCUUUAGGUUCGGAAUAGCUCCUGGAAACGGGUGGUAAUGCCGAAUGUGCCCUUCGGGGGAAAGAUUUAUCGCCUUUAGAGCGGCCCGCGUCUGAUUAGCUAGUUGGUGAGGUAAAGGCUCACCAAGGCGACGAUCAGUAGCUGGUCUGAGAGGAUGACCAGCCACAUUGGGACUGAGACACGGCCCAAACUCCUACGGGGGGCAGCAGUGGGGAAUCUUGCGCAAUGGGCGAAAGCCUGACGCAGCCAUGCCGCGUGAAUGAUGAAGGUCUUAGGAUUGUAAAAUUCUUUCACCGGGGACGAUAAUGACGGUACCCGGAGAAGACGCCCCGGCUAACUUCGUGCCAGCCGCCGCCGUAAAAC
rnacentral:rRNA from 1 species